UGAGUCGAUCACCUUCCAGAGCCUGCCUGA
rnacentral:piRNA from 1 species